rnacentral:rRNA from 3 species
GGGUUGUGAGGUUAAGCGACUAAGCGUACACGGUGGAUGCCCUGGCAGUCAGAGGCGAUGAAGGGCGUACUAAUCUGCGAUAAGCGCCGGUAAGGUGAUAUGAACCGUUAUAACCGGCGAUACCCGAAUGGGGAAACCCAGUGUGAUUCGUCACACUAUCAUUAACUGAAUCCAUAGGUUAAUGAGGCGAACCGGGGGAACUGAAACAUCUAAGUACCCCGAGGAAAAGAAAUCAACCGAGAUUCCCCCAGUAGCGGCGAGCGAACGGGGAGGAGCCCAGAGCCUGAAUCAGCAUGUGUGUUAGUGGAAGCGUCUGGAAAGGCGCGCGAUACAGGGUGACAGCCCCGUACACAAAAGCGCAUGUGCUGUGAGCUCGAUGAGUAGGGCGGGACACGUGGUAUCCUGUCUGAAUAUGGGGGGACCAUCCUCCAAGGCUAAAUACUCCUGACUGACCGAUAGUGAACCAGUACCGUGAGGGAAAGGCGAAAAGAACCCCGGCGAGGGGAGUGAAAAAGAACCUGAAACCGUGUACGUACAAGCAGUGGGAGCACAGGUUUACCUGUGUGACUGCGUACCUUUUGUAUAAUGGGUCAGCGACUUAUAUUCUGUAGCAAGGUUAACCGAAUAGGGGAGCCGGAGGGAAACCGAGUCUUAAUUGGGCGUUAAGUUGCAGGGUAUAGACCCGAAACCCGGUGAUCUAGCCAUGGGCAGGUUGAAGGUUGGGUAACACUAACUGGAGGACCGAACCGACUAAUGUUGAAAAAUUAGCGGAUGACCUGUGGCUGGGGGUGAAAGGCCAAUCAAACCGGGAGAUAGCUGGUUCUCCCCGAAAGCUAUUUAGGUAGCGCCUCGUGAAUUCAUCUCCGGGGGUAGAGCACUGUUUCGGCUAGGGGGCCAUCCCGGCUUACCAACCCGAUGCAAACUGCGAAUACCGGAGAAUGUUAUCACGGGAGACACACGGCGGGUGCUAACGUCCGUCGUGAAGAGGGAAACAACCCAGACCGCCAGCUAAGGUCCCAAAGUCAUGGUUAAGUGGGAAACGAUGUGGGAAGGCCCAGACAGCCAGGAUGUUGGCUUAGAAGCAGCCAUCAUUUAAAGAAAGCGUAAUAGCUCACUGGUCGAGUCGGCCUGCGCGGAAGAUGUAACGGGGCUAAACCAUGCACCGAAGCUGCGGCAGCGACACUGUGUGUUGUUGGGUAGGGGAGCGUUCUGUAAGCCUGUGAAGGUGUGUCGUGAGGCAUGCUGGAGGUAUCAGAAGUGCGAAUGCUGACAUAAGUAACGAUAAAGCGGGUGAAAAGCCCGCUCGCCGGAAGACCAAGGGUUCCUGUCCAACGUUAAUCGGGGCAGGGUGAGUCGACCCCUAAGGCGAGGCCGAAAGGCGUAGUCGAUGGGAAACGGGUUAAUAUUCCCGUACUUGGUGUUACUGCGAAGGGGGGACGGAGAAGGCUAUGUUGGCCGGGCGACGGUUGUCCCGGUUUAAGCGUGUAGGUGUGUGUUCCAGGUAAAUCCGGUUCACUUUAACACUGAGGCGUGACGACGAGGCACUACGGUGCUGAAGCAACAAAUGCCCUGCUUCCAGGAAAAGCCUCUAAGCAUCAGGUAACAUCAAAUCGUACCCCAAACCGACACAGGUGGUCAGGUAGAGAAUACCAAGGCGCUUGAGAGAACUCGGGUGAAGGAACUAGGCAAAAUGGUGCCGUAACUUCGGGAGAAGGCACGCUGACACGUAGGUGAAGUGAUUUACUCAUGGAGCUGAAGUCAGUCGAAGAUACCAGCUGGCUGCAACUGUUUAUUAAAAACACAGCACUGUGCAAACACGAAAGUGGACGUAUACGGUGUGACGCCUGCCCGGUGCCGGAAGGUUAAUUGAUGGGGUCAGCGCAAGCGAAGCUCCUGAUCGAAGCCCCGGUAAACGGCGGCCGUAACUAUAACGGUCCUAAGGUAGCGAAAUUCCUUGUCGGGUAAGUUCCGACCUGCACGAAUGGCGUAAUGAUGGCCAGGCUGUCUCCACCCGAGACUCAGUGAAAUUGAACUCGCUGUGAAGAUGCAGUGUACCCGCGGCAAGACGGAAAGACCCCGUGAACCUUUACUAUAGCUUGACACUGAACAUUGAGCCUUGAUGUGUAGGAUAGGUGGGAGGCUUUGAAGUGUGGACGCCAGUCUGCAUGGAGCCGACCUUGAAAUACCACCCUUUAAUGUUUGAUGUUCUAACGUGGACCCGUUACCCGGGUUGCGGACAGUGUCUGGUGGGUAGUUUGACUGGGGCGGUCUCCUCCUAAAGAGUAACGGAGGAGCACGAAGGUUGGCUAAUCCUGGUCGGACAUCAGGAGGUUAGUGCAAUGGCAUAAGCCAGCUUGACUGCGAGCGUGACGGCGCGAGCAGGUGCGAAAGCAGGUCAUAGUGAUCCGGUGGUUCUGAAUGGAAGGGCCAUCGCUCAACGGAUAAAAGGUACUCCGGGGAUAACAGGCUGAUACCGCCCAAGAGUUCAUAUCGACGGCGGUGUUUGGCACCUCGAUGUCGGCUCAUCACAUCCUGGGGCUGAAGUAGGUCCCAAGGGUAUGGCUGUUCGCCAUUUAAAGUGGUACGCGAGCUGGGUUUAGAACGUCGUGAGACAGUUCGGUCCCUAUCUGCCGUGGGCGCUGGAGAACUGAGGGGGGCUGCUCCUAGUACGAGAGGACCGGAGUGGACGCAUCACUGGUGUUCGGGUUGUCAUGCCAAUGGCACUGCCCGGUAGCUAAAUGCGGAAGAGAUAAGUGCUGAAAGCAUCUAAGCACGAAACUUGCCCCGAG